rnacentral:rRNA from 1 species
GAUGAACGCUGGCGGUAUGCUUAACACAUGCAAGUCGAACGGACUCUUCGGAGUUAGUGGCGGACGGGUGAGUAACGCGUGAGAAUCUGGCUUUGGGUUCGGGACAACCACUGGAAACGGUGGCUAAUACCGGAUGUGCCGAGAGGUAAAAGAGAAAUUGCCUGAAGAUGAGCUCGCGUCUGAUUAGCUAGUUGGUGAGGUAAAGGCUCACCAAGGCAGCGAUCAGUAGCUGGUCUGAGAGGAUGACCAGCCACACUGGGACUGAGACACGGCCCAGACUCCUACGGGAGGCAGCAGGGGGGAAUUUUCCGCAAUGGGCGAAAGCCUGACGGAGCAAUACCGCGUGGGGGAAGAAGGCUCUUGGGUUGUAAACCUCUUUUCUUAGGGAAGAACAAAAUGACGGUACCUAAGGAAUCAGCAUCGGCUAACUCCGUG